UGUUGUGAAGGACAAUAAUAAUCCCUAGAGAAUGUGGCAUCUUUUUUCUCAUCUAGCUCUUGCUGUAGAGGGCAAAACAUUGGCCCAGCAGUGUUGCUACCGAAUACCAGAAAUUAUUUCCCUCUGCCCCUGCUUCUUUUGCACUACUAGUUGCUUGAGCAGUGUGAGAGGUGAGAAGCCACUGCCUUCACUGUGUUCCAAACUGCUUUUGUGCCAUCAGCUUGUUGGCAUGAAACCUUACACGAGAGCCCUGGAGGAAAAUAUUUCUUCUGAUUUUGUUUAGAGGACUCUGGUUUAGCAGGUCAGAGAAAUUAAUGCUGUGGGAUAGAGAAUACCAAAGGAAGAGUGGGAGAGAAAGGGCAGAUCACAUCAACUCCAGCCAUUAAUAAAUGUACUGAAGUCAGAACACAUUUCCCUGUGGACUCUCUGGGAAGGCCUGAGAACUGGAAAAGAAGUCAUGGCAUCCAGACCUGGAGUAUGGGAACAUACCCUCACAGUCAGCUGUUCCUGAAUCACUCCCUAAAGCACUGCAGGAAAUUGAUGAGGGAACAACAGGACAACCAGCUAGUGCAUGGCAAAAACAGGGAUCUUCAUCCUGAACAUGAUGGGAACCACAGCUUUCCUUAAUUGGAGUUGAAAAUAAUUUAUUUUUAAGAGAGAGGAUCCUUGGAACA